rnacentral:rRNA from 1 species
UUAAAUUGAAGAGUUUGAUCAUGGCUCAGAUUGAACGCUGGCGGCAGGCCUAACACAUGCAAGUCGAACGGUAACAGGAAGCAGCUUGCUGUUUUGCUGACGAGUGGCGGACGGGUGAGUAAUGUCUGGGAAACUGCCUGAUGGAGGGGGAUAACUACUGGAAACGGUAGCUAAUACCGCAUAACGUCGCAAGACCAAAGAGGGGGACCUUAGGGCCUCUUGCCAUCGGAUGUGCCCAGAUGGGAUUAGCUAGUAGGUGGGGUAACGGCUCACCUAGGCGACGAUCCCUAGCUGGUCUGAGAGGAUGACCAGCCACACUGGAACUGAGACACGGUCCAGACUCCUACGGGAGGCAGCAGUGGGGAAUAUUGCACAAUGGGCGCAAGCCUGAUGCAGCCAUGCCGCGUGUAUGAAGAAGGCCUUCGGGUUGUAAAGUACUUUCAGCGGGGAGGAAGGGAGUAAAGUUAAUACCUUUGCUCAUUGACGUUACCCGCAGAAGAAGCACCGGCUAACUCCGUGCCAGCAGCCGCGGUAAUACGGAGGGUGCAAGCGUUAAUCGGAAUUACUGGGCGUAAAGCGCACGCAGGCGGUUUGUUAAGUCAGAUGUGAAAUCCCCAGGCUCAACCUGGGAACUGCAUCUGAUACUGGCAAGCUUGAGUCUCGUAGAGGGGGGUAGAAUUCCAGGUGUAGCGGUGAAAUGCGUAGAGAUCUGGAGGAAUACCGGUGGCGAAGGCGGCCCCCUGGACGAAGACUGACGCUCAGGUGCGAAAGCGUGGGGAGCAAACAGGAUUAGAUACCCUGGUAGUCCACGCCGUAAACGAUGUCGACUUGGAGGUUGUGCCCUUGAGGCGUGGCUUCCGGAGCUAACGCGUUAAGUCGACCGCCUGGGGAGUACGGCCGCAAGGUUAAAACUCAAAUGAAUUGACGGGGGCCCGCACAAGCGGUGGAGCAUGUGGUUUAAUUCGAUGCAACGCGAAGAACCUUACCUGGUCUUGACAUCCACGGAAGUUUUCAGAGAUGAGAAUGUGCCUUCGGGAACCGUGAGACAGGUGCUGCAUGGCUGUCGUCAGCUCGUGUUGUGAAAUGUUGGGUUAAGUCCCGCAACGAGCGCAACCCUUAUCCUUUGUUGCCAGCGGUCCGGCCGGGAACUCAAAGGAGACUGCCAGUGAUAAACUGGAGGAAGGUGGGGAUGACGUCAAGUCAUCAUGGCCCUUACGACCAGGGCUACACACGUGCUACAAUGGCGCAUACAAAGAGAAGCGACCUCGCGAGAGCAAGCGGACCUCAUAAAGUGCGUCGUAGUCCGGAUUGGAGUCUGCAACUCGACUCCAUGAAGUCGGAAUCGCUAGUAAUCGUGGAUCAGAAUGCCACGGUGAAUACGUUCCCGGGCCUUGUACACACCGCCCGUCACACCAUGGGAGUGGGUUGCAAAAGAAGUAGGUAGCUUAACCUUCGGGAGGGCGCUUACCACUUUGUGAUUCAUGACUGGGGUGAAGUCGUAACAAGGUAACCGUAGGGGAACCUGCGGUUGGAUCACCUCCUUACCUUAAAGAAGC